CCCCAGGGCCCUGCACAUGAUGAUAUGUGCUUUGUUUUAGGAAACUGCUGAAAGGGCGGGCCUACGCCAGCCGACUCCAUCUUGUUCUGUGUCCUCCACCUUGAGUGACUGUGUCCCCGACAUGACCCCUUUUCCGGGAAAAUCGCAGAAACCUCAGACCACGCCUCCUCCCCUUGAGUAACCUCCCGCUCACCCGUUCAAACUUCCCGAUCAAAACACGCCCAGCGACUCGCUUAACAGGACUCCGACCCUUCCCCAGCCAAUCGGCCGAGGCCACGACCCUUCCCCAGCCAAUCGGCUGAGGCCACAGCCAUUACCUCACCAACUGCCCCUAGACCCCUGUAAAACCUUUGUGCUUUUGAAACUCCCCGGCUCUCUCUGGCGUCUCACCGCUGCAUCGGUGCAGUAACUGUUUUGGCUCCAUGUCUGAAGUAGGAAUCAGUCGCUAACGUUUUGCAGACUAACGUUCCCAUGAAGCCACAAAGCUGCCCUCAGAUGUGACGGGAUGGGGCACAAACCCGUCUCUGCCAGAUUACAAGCACCAUGCACUUCUUACUUGCCCAGGGUAGCAAAUGCCUUUGAACCACACUCCUUCCGCCUGGAAAGAACAGUGGAGAUGUGACAACCAUCUGAUGAUUUCGAUCUGGAUAAACAGCUCCAAAGGGACAGGGCUGAAACAGCGGUUCUCAAAAUGUGGUCCCUGGACCGAAGGCACCAUCACCAUCACCUGA
rnacentral:lncRNA from 1 species